CAGCGCCACGGGAAUACGAACCGUGCGAACGUUAUUCGGAAUCACUGGGCUUAAAGCGCGUGUAGGCGGACCAGCACGUCUGGUGUUGAAAUCCCCCGGCUCAACCGGGGAAGUGGCACGGAUACGACUGGUCUGGAGGGGGGUGGGGGAAUCAGGAACUUCCGGUGGAGCGGUGAAAUGCGUUGAGAUCGGAAGGAACGCCCGCGGCGAAAGCGUGGUUCUGGACCCCACCUGACGCUGAGACGCGAAAGCCAGGGGAGCGAACGGGAUUAGAUACUCCUGUAGUCCCUGUCUCUUAUAC
rnacentral:rRNA from 1 species